AUGAACCUCUUUCUGCUGAAAUCACAGCAACCCACCAGCUCUUGCUGCUGCUCAAAACCAAACUUCUCUCAGUAAGUAACCAAUAAAUUCAUUCUGUGGCAUUCUGGAUCUGUCUGCCUCCAUUGACCUCAUACUACCUUGAGUCUGGUUUCCAUACUCUGGAAUUGUGUUGUUCCAGAAAACAACGUACUUGCUCAACAAAGUGAGAUGCAGCAGCAAUUGGAUUUCCUUUCAUAUGGAACCUGAGUUGAGAAUAUUUUCUGGACCUGAAAGGCAGGAUUUAUCAAGAGGGUGUGACCAUAACCAGAGUGCAGUGCCCUUAAAAGUCAAGUGUGUUCACCAGCUUGUGCAAGAGAUGCAAGGACUAUCCUGCCACCUUGUGGCUUGAGGCCAAUAUGCACAAAACUUGG
rnacentral:lncRNA from 1 species